rnacentral:rRNA from 1 species
GAUGAACGCUGACAGAAUGCUUAACACAUGCAAGUCAACUUGAACUUCGGUUUGGGUGGCGGACGGGUGAGUAACGCGUACAGAACUUGCCUCACAGAUAGGGACAACAUUUUGAAACGAAUGCUAAUACCUGAUAUUAUGAUUAUAUGGCAUCGUAUAAUUAUGAAAGCUAUAUGCGCUGUGAGAGAGCUUUGCGUCCCAUUAGCGAGUUGGAGAGGUAACGGCUCACCAAGGCGAUGAUGGGUAGCCGGCCUGAGAGGGUGAUCGGCCACAAGGGGACUGGGGCACGGCCAUUACGCAAACGGGAGGCAGCAGUGGGAAAUAUUGGAAAAUGGACCAAGAGUCUGAUCCAGCAAUUCUGUGUGCACGAUGAAGUUUUUCGGAAUGUAAAGUGCUUUCAGUUGAGAAGAAAAAAAUGACGGUACCAAAAGAAGAAGUGACGGCUAAAUACGUG